CAUUACACACCUGAAAAGGCAUCAAGACACUGAAAGCAUCAAAGAAAAGACACACAAACUAUCCGAGAAGAACCACGACAUGAGAGAAGAAAAUGGACAAUGUUUUCUUUUAAAGGAGAUGGGAACACAAUGCAGCAAAAGGCUUCCAUACCAGUGAAGGAAAGCUGGGAAAAGGAAGACCGAAAAACAGAAGAAGAAGAAGAAGAAGAAGAAGACGAAGAAGAAGAAGGAGGGGGAGGAGGGGUUGCUGUUGAUUCUGCCCUCCCUCUCUCUCCUCGCCCUCCACUGCAUCGCCUCUUCCCUCCUCCUCCUCUUCUCUUCCUCCUCCACUCCAUCCUCAGCACACUGCCCCUUUUUCCUGUACAGCGAAACGCAGCCCGCGCCACCAUCUUAGAGCAACGCUGGCAUGAAAUGGAAGUGGGGAAAGACCAGUCAGUGCAGAUACCUAUGAGGAUGCAGAGUGGACUGGGGACGGCAGGACACCUCCUCACGUGGAGUGAACAAUGAUUCCUGCCAUCAGUGUCCUCACGUGAUGCAGCGCUUCAACCUAACUGGACUGUUUCUGAACUGCCAUCAUGAUAGACUGUGUCUGUGGGGACCUGUGGAUCUAUAAUUGUUUUUUUUUUUGUAAUUAUUGAAGUGAUGGAAUGUCUCAUAGGCUCCAUAUAUAUGUUGUAGACCAUGUUUUGUUCAGUUUCUGUUUUGUUGUAGUUGCUAGGACUCAAAAGACACGUGAAUGUGAGACCCACGGCAGCAGUGAAUAAUACUGCACUGCGAUUGGACAGCUCCGUGUGUCGGCUUAGACACAGCGGCGUAG
rnacentral:lncRNA from 1 species